rnacentral:tRNA from 1 species
UGGGGUAUCGCCAAGCGGAAAGACACCGGAUUCUGAUUACGGCCUUCCGCGGAUCGAAUCCUCGUACACCAGCCA